rnacentral:lncRNA from 1 species
UUUUUUAUGAUUAUACGAUUUUCACAAUUUCUCAUAGUUAACAUGACUUUUUCGCAAUCAAUCGUACGUAUCAAUCCACGACGAUUAUUUAUACCACACGAAACAGAUCCCAAACUAAAGUUAAUCGUUUAAGAAUUAAAUUAAAUAUAUUUACUACAAUAACAAUAUAAUAUUUAAUAUUUAAGCAAUAUGGCAUACAUUAGAACCACAUAAUCAACUAUGGGGAUUGUGGAAGUUUUUGAAAUCUACACAAUGGGUCAAGGUCCUUGGAACCUAUACACUGUUCUUAAUGGCCUAAAGUUUAAGGUGCCACAGUGUAUGGGUUGCAAAAUCUUCGAGUACAUGGAUAUAUCUAAUAGGAGAUAUCGUAUUCGAUAAGAUAUUUUAAGUACAUUCUUCUUAAAUAAGAAGAACUCGUUAUUAUCGAUUAUUAAUCCUUUAGACGAUUAUUAAUCCCUCAACCUGAUAUCUUCGCACGACACACUCAGCCAAACCAAACAUCUUACAGCUAAAUUGAAACUUUUCCCUAUAUCUACCGAUCUAUAAAGUUUUUACUCCACCGAGUCAUCGAUUCAGAUGAAAGGAAAAUCAUCGACACGGAUGGUACCCUUCUCGACACCUCCUCGUUUCCCCCGAGGCUCGGCUGCGGACGUGAAAUAUUUUUACAUGCGGCUUAACGCGAAAGCAUGUCACUCAUACGUGAAACGAUUAAAGUUUUAGAAGUAUCGAUUCCGUUGGCGUUACCGUUGACAGACAGAGGGAUCGUCAAAGAGCAUAAUAAUUACUGCGCCCGCAGAGAAGAGGCUCAACCCUUUGUUCUAUAGUCACUUUGCGAAAGGGGCUGUGCCAGGAGCGCAGGGACGCUUUGGGGUGGGACGGGGCUAAGGGGGCUCGGGGCGGUGGUUGAAGAGCAUCCGUUUCAGUCGCGCCAUUAUGUAAUUGAUCUGGGCUUUCCGUACGCGAUGAUCGUGUAAUGCGUUCCACGUACUCGACGCGCGCGAUUCCGCAUACAUCUUCUCUUCUUUUUUCUCUCCUUCUUCCCUCUCUCUCAUUCUCUUUUCCUCUACUGCUAUCCGAAAGCCCUCGGAGGCAGAAGAACGUUGCAGUCCGUUGCAUCACGCGGAUAGAUUAAAAGGAACGCACUGGCAAAGGUGAGAGUCGGUGGACAGUCAAAGUCGAUACUCGUUUUCGUAUCAAUGGUGCUCUUCGACUGGAUCGCGCUCCUCCGAACCGUCGAUAAUUUUCCUAAAGAGAGAGAUUUUUCGUUCCCGGCUCACUCCACGUUGAUGCAUCCAGUCAAGAUCGAAAUGAUUUCACAAGAGUGGCGGAUUGAUGACGAACGUUGAUUACGAAGAUUGGCCGGUGUCGAUGCGAUUAUCAUAAAUAAACUGUGGAUGUUUACGUAUCUAUGGGAAGUUUAACAGAGUAAGAAGAUGUCACGGGCAUGUAAGUGCGUUAAAUGGAUAAAUAGUUGGCAUACUAUUAUUGUGGAUUACAUUUUUCACAUUUUAACUUAAUUAGUAAUUGUUUCAAUUAAAUUGUUUCAAUUAAUCAACAUAGUAAACAUCAUAUAUACACAUAAUGUCAAUAUUUUACUACAGUCUACAAUUCAUACAAUUAAUCAAAUCGAUACACUAAAAAGCAAUCAGACAAAUAACUGUAUCUUCAAGUAGUAUUCUAAAAAAUUCAGGAUUUAUAUAAUUUACACGUACGAAUAUAAAUCACGUUGUUUAUGGCCGAGGGUAAGUCGUGACAAGUUUUCUCGUUAUGUUUCAUUAAAACGGUUUUCUGAUAUCGCAGUGAUCUCUUGUUUACAGAAACGUACAUGUAAUUCGAUUCCACGUAACAAAAAUAGCCAGUCUUGUAUUUACCCUAAUACAGGCGUUGUUGGGACUCGCGAUUCAUUACAAUUAACGAAAACCGUGGUAUGCCAAUACGAUGAUGGACUCAAUUAGAAAAUGGCGUGGUUGGGGGUGGUUGUGUACAUCGAAUGCGCUCUCCCUUCUUCGUCUGUGGUUCAUCGACGAACGCGCGCAGGCAUUGCUGGUAGAUAUUUAAUUAAAGUUGUUUGCGCGACCAAGUUUGGAAACUUUGGGAAUAAGUUACCGGCGGGAAUCAGCGAAGGGGCCAUUUAAUUGUCCUCGCGUUUAAUGCGCCGAAUGGCCCGGGAGUUAUAUUCGUCAUCAUGUCACCGGAAGUCACCGGAUGGGUGGGCUGAGUAGUAAACGCGUCAACGGGCAAGAAAAGAACCACACGAGCGUGUUGCGAUUUUCGUGAAAAGUAUCUCGUCCUUAACCCAUUUGCACCGGUUUCUUUUAUAUCGUUGCGUUGGCAAGGUGCUACACGCGAAACGUUAAUUUACUCUGCCGCAUACACAUAUAUACAUGUAUAUAUGUAAAUAUAUAGAUAUACUUUUAUCGCAAUUACACAGAGAAAAAUUUUGUACGUCACGCUUUUCAUGUUCCUCGAAGUUGACGGUGACAUCACAAUGCGACCCUCUUGCGUUUUAUUUUUAAUUUGCGCCGAUAUCGAAGCCAAAUCCGUGCGUCCGUCGCCGUUGUUUUAUGCCGCUCGUAAUUAUACGAAGACACGCUGCAUGCUUCUAUUCAAAUCGUUGAUUUUAAACGACAGAAUCGAUACCGAUGUAUUAAUAUAAUGGACGUUGGCCGAGGUAGAGUAAGCCUUUCCUUUCUUGUUCUACCGAUUUGUAGAAGUAUGCACUCGCGAAAUCGGUGAGUCGCGAUUUAAUUGAUGCUGCUCGCGAAUUAAUUACGCGUUAGUAGUCGAGAAAAUUCCUGCAUCUCGGAUUAAGUUGAACGCUUUGAAGCGUGUCUGCGAUUACGUAGAUUACCGUCGUCCUCGAUGAGGAUAGAAUUCGUUUCUUUCAAGUCGCUCCAUUUCACGCGCUAAUAGGUUCGCGGUGUUUCGCGCACUCGUGUUACGCGACGUCGCGUUUACAGACGCGAUUCACUUAAAAACCAAGCUCUGUCGUCAGCGGAUUUCAUUUUCUUUCUUUUUCUCUUCUGUCUCUUUCCUCCCCGUUCUUUUUUUUUUUUAUUUCACCGCGAAGCGACUCGAUUAUACCAACCGACUAAAGCUUGAUAUCAAAAGCAUUAUAGAUUCAGACGUAUCCAAGUAAGCGCGAGCGAAGACGAGAAAAAACGGAAAAAAGGAAAUUUCGCGACCUAGCUGAAAUAUCCCUUUAGAAUAUCAGCGGGUGAAAAUCUUUUUUCUUGAGUUAUAAAGAAGCUCGGCGACGCGUCCUUCCUGAAAUAAAAUAACCGAUAAGUGAUCCGGUGUCGGUGUGGACAGAGCCUUAACGUGAGAAACGAGAGGCCAAGUGAUCGCAUAAACGUAUUCGUGUCAAAAGCAGCUCCGGUCGAGACCCGAGUUAUCCUCUGACCCCACUCUGUCAUCUCGAACUUACCUCGCCUCCUCUUCGUAUCACCAAACCGUUAUUUUCGGCCAGGUUUCCCCAUUUUCUUCCCGAUAUUCUUCCGGGCAAAUGAUUCGUAUGCUUUACAUAUACAUUUUAAAAGAAACAUAUGUAUCUACUAGCUGAGAAUAAA